AGUGGAUGUGUUAGAAAACUUCAGUCAGGUCUUUCAUAGAUAUAGAUUCGUUCAGUUGAUUGUGGCUCGACUAGAGGACUGACCUGAUUCUUGAGAUACGAAAUCUGCAGUUUACCCUUUUGAUGGAUGGCUUGGAUAUUACACAUGUCUGCCAUGCCGGCAUGUGGUAGUAUGUGCGUUAGCUCACUUAUACAUGCAUGUGAGCUUAGCAAACCUCUUUCCCUUCCUCAGGUGGGCUCUACCAAGAAGGUGUACAUUUCUAACAGGUGGUGAACCUGCUUCUGAACAUCAUUAGAUUAUUUUCUGAUGGUGAUCUUUUCUCUAUACAACGUGAUGCAUUGUAUACCCUAGAAACUAUCUAGAACUCGAGGCAUUGCUACUAAUCACUGGCAUGUCCUACUUGUAAUUGACAAGCAAAUGAAGAUUUUCUUUUCAUGAUGGUUAGCUCUGCUUGCAGAUUUUUCAGGUCAUAGAUACUUGUGGUCAGUAUCUAUUCUACUUGGGAAGUGGGUACUUAUGGCUACCGAUGGUCCUCCUUGCAGAAAUCGUCCAAACGUUUAUUUUGGCCCUACAAACCAUAUGGAUGAUGGAAUAUACGAAGCUGUUGCAGGAAGUGACUUUGUCAUUACUAAAGUUGCAUUUCGAGACAACUCUUCAAAGUACUACAUAAAUGACCGUGAAAGUAAUUUUACAGAGGUCAUUAAGAAAUUGAAAGGAAAAUGAAUGGACUUGGACAACAAUCGGUUUUUGAUUCUUCAGGUGAGUGAUGGGCUAAUGGCUGAAAAAGGCAUAUUUAGCUGUGAAAAAAAUAUCAUACCGUCAAAAUAUAUCUUCUCUUUCAAUUCUUUAUCAUUAAAAUUUCAGGGUGAAGUCUAGGAAAUUUCUUUAAUGAAGCUAAAGAUUUGUAUUUUCAGCAUUAUUGUAAUUGUAAUUGUAAUUGAUUGAAUGAAGGAUUGUAAUUGAUUGUAAUUGAAUGAAUGAAUGAUUGUAAUUGAUUGUAAUGGAAUGAAUGAAUGAUUA